GGGGUCGUUACGGAUUCGACAGGCAUUAUGCGACACAUUUUGCAACUCAUCUAGCGGAUGUAAAACGCCAGUUAAAUAUAACUGCAAAAAAUAAUACUUCUUACGCUUUAGCUGCCUAAAAACCAGCCAGCGUGACCUGAUUCGGAUUGCUUGUGUCUGAUGAUAGGUCUUAUUAUUAGCAAGCUACGGUAAAAUCUUGUCUAGGGAUUUUACAAGAGAUGAAUAGACUCGCUUGAUUUUGGCUUGAGUUAUGUGUCAGAAUGAAGUUAAAAGAAUACAUAACCUAUGGUUGUAGACAAAUGUGUUGGCAGGUGUUUGGACGUGGGUUCGACUCCCACCGGCUCCAUGU
rnacentral:tmRNA from 1 species